CUGAACUGUCGACACGAGUUGUUGCUGGUCCUCAAAUGGGGGCAUGUGCACGCUCUGUUUACACAUCCACUCACACCUGUGCACCUUCUGUAGUUCUAUGGGCUGGGGGACCCUGUCCUCCUUCUGUAGCUCUACGUCUUUACACACACACUGUAAUAAAGUCUUGUGGAAUGUAUGCCGCGUUUAACGCAAUACAAUA
rnacentral:misc_RNA from 1 species